rnacentral:rRNA from 1 species
CUACGGGCCGCAGCAGUGAGGAAUAUUGGUCAAUGGGCGCGAGCCUGAACCAGCCAUCCCGCGUGCAGGAUGACGGCCCUAUGGGUUGUAAACUGCUUUUCUAUGCCAAGAAACCUGAUUACGUGUAAUCAGUUGCCGGUAGCAUAGGAAUAAGCAUCGGCUAACUCCGUGCCAGCAGCCGCGGUAAUACGGAGGAUGCAAGCGUUAUCCGGAUUCAUUGGGUUUAAAGGGUGCGCAGGUGGGCUUGUAAGUCAGUGGUGAAAUGCUGCCGCUUAACGGUAGAACUGCCAUUGAUACUGCGAGUCUUGAGUAUGGUUGAGGUAGGCGGAAUGUGUUGUGUAGCGGUGAAAUGCAUAGAUAUGACACAGAACGCCAAUUGCGAAGGCAGCUUACUAAGCCAUUACUGACGCUGAGGCACGAAAGCGUGGGGAGCGAACAGGAUUAGAUACCCUGGUAGUC